GAUGAACGCUAGCGGCAGGCUUAACACAUGCAAGUCGAGGGGCAGCACAGGUAGCAAUACUGGGUGGCGACCGGCAAACGGGUGCGGAACACGUACGCAACUUACCCUAAACAGAUGAAUAGCCCUCGGAAACGGGGAUUAAUACAUCGUAAACUAUAAGAGUGGCAUCAUUUCUAUAGAAUAGCUGAGGCGGUUUAGGAUGGGCUUGCGUCCCAUUAGCUAGUUGGUAAGGUAACGGCUUACCAAGGCGACGAUGGGUAACUGGUGUGAGAGCACGACCAGUCACACGGGCACUGAGACACGGGCCCGACUCCUACGGGAGGCAGCAGUGAGGAAUAUUGGUCAAUGGACGCAAGUCUGAACCAGCCAUGCCGCGUGAAGGAUGAAGGCGUUCUGCGUUGUAAACUUCUUUUAUCAGGGAAGAAACCUCAGUAUUCUUAUUGAGCCGACGGUACCUUAUGAAUAAGCACCGGCUAACUCCGUGCCAGCAGCCGCAGUAACAC
rnacentral:rRNA from 1 species